rnacentral:rRNA from 1 species
GACGAACGCUGGCGGCGUGCUUAACACAUGCAAGUCGAACGGUAAGGCCCUCGGGGUACACGAGUGGCGAACGGGUGAGUAACACGUGGGUGAUCUGCCCUGCACUUCGGGAUAAGCCUGGGAAACUGGGUCUAAUACCGGAUAGGACCCUGGGAUGCAUGUCCUGGGGUGGAAAGCUUUUGCGGUGUGGGAUGGGCCCGCGGCCUAUCAGCUUGUUGGUGGGGUGAUAGCCUACCAAGGCGACGACGGGUAGCCGGCCUGUGAGGGUGACCGGCCACACUGGGACUGGGGUACAGCCCAGACUCCUACGGGAGGCAGCAGUGGGGAAUAUUGCACAAUGGGCGCAAGCCUGAUGCAGCGACGCCGCGUGAGGGAUGACGGCCUUCGGGUUGUAAACCUCUUUCAGCACCGACGAAGCGCAAGUGACGGUAGGUGCAGAAGAAGGACCGGCCAACUACGUGCCAGCCGCCGCCGUAA